CCCGCCCCGCCACCAAAUGGGACCAGAGCCAUUUCCGGCCCUCGCUGCCCCCACAGGCCCCGGAAGUGACGUCGUCCUCAGGCGGGGCCUUAGGCCUUCGCGAAGGAAAUAGCUGCCGCGUAAUAUCCGGUGGUGACCUGGGAAAUAUGGGCCCGCUGCCCCCUGGACCCGCCGUCGCCUGGCCCAAGGACUGCUUCUGCAGGCCCUCCCGGCGCGGACUUACCGCCCUGCGGCUCCGGGGCGCGGCUUCCAGCACGGGGAACCGGAAGUACUCGUGGCAUGGCUUGAUGAGCAGUGUGUAGGUCUGCACCCAGGAUCCGAACCUGCGAACCCCAGGCUGCUGAAGCGGAAACCUCAGGCCACUGAAGCAGAAACCCCUGGCCGCCGAAGCAGAGCGCGCGAACUUAACCACUAUGCCACCGGGCCAGCCCCCUAAAACAACUUUUGAAAAGGCCAUUUAAGUAGGAUAUAAGCCUUCCCAGUAUUCAAGCAAGCUGAAGGAAAGAAGACAAUGGAUUGGACAACUGGCAACAUUCAAGAUGAUGGCUUCUCUGCCAGCCUGAGACCUGAGUGACCCUGAUGGGAAGAGCCACCCUGACAACCCACAAAGGACAUGUACUGAAAGUGAAAAAUAAAUCUCUGAUGUUUAAAACCACUAAGGUGUGGGGGUAAGUGUUAUUGCACCAUAACCUGGCCUAUCCUGGUAUACUCACCUUAUCCUGUUGAAACUUUUUUUUUUUUAG